AGCGGAGGAAAGAAACCAACUGGGAUUACCUUAGUAACGGCGAGUGAAGCGGUAAAAGCUCAAAUUUGAAAUCUGGUACUUUCAGUGCCCGAGUUGUAAUUUGUAGAAUUUGUCUUUGAUUAGGUCCUUGUCUAUGUUCCUUGGAACAGGACGUCAUAGAGGGUGAGAAUCCCGUUUGGCGAGGAUACCUUUUCUCUGUAAGACUUUUUCGAAGAGUCGAGUUGUUUGGGAAUGCAGCUCAAAGUGGGUGGUAAAUUCCAUCUAAAGCUAAAUAUUGGCGAGAGACCGAUAGCGAACAAGUACAGUGAUGGAAAGAUGAAAAGAACUUUGAAAAGAGAGUGAAAAAGUACGUGAAAUUGUUGAAAGGGAAGGGCAUUUGAUCAGACAUGGUGUUUUUUGCAUGCACUCGCCUCUCGUGGGCUUGGGCCUCUCAAAAAUUUCACUGGGCCAACAUCAAUUCUGGCAGCAGGAUAAAUCAUUAAGAAUGUAGCUACUUCGGUAGUGUUAUAGCUUUUUGGAAUACUGUUAGCCGGGAUUGAGGACUGCGCUUCGGCAAGGAUGUUGGCAUAAUGGUUAAAUGCCGCCCG
rnacentral:rRNA from 1 species